UUACCGGCUAAAUGUAAUUAAAAAAAUCAAGUAAAAUCUUAACCGCUUAUUCCAUUAAAUUAUUAAUUAGUAUAUAUAACCGACUAACUAUAAAAAUGUCGAGAUAACUGGUGUAUAUUACCGGCUAACUAUAACAAAUAAAAGUCAAGUAAAAUCUUAACCGGCUAAACAACCAUUUUAAUCAUUUGUAUUGUAAUUUGUUAAUGAGUUAAUUUUAUGUUUAGCCGAACAUGUAAAUCUAAACAUAUAUUUUGUGAUUUAUUAGAGAGUUAAUUUUUUUGUUUAUCCGUGUUGAUACAAAGUAACAACUAUCUACUGAUCAAAAUAGCCGGUAAAUAUAAAUUAAAUACAAGCUAAAAUGUAAAGUAUCUGGAUAAGUUAGAAUAUAACAAUGCUAAUAUUAGGGGGACCAGUUUUGCAAAAAAAAAAAAAAAAUUGGAUCCUCAGUUGCCAUGAGCUUGCAUCGAUCGAACUGAGAAGACCCAAAUGCUCAGUUCAUCAUGUUCGAACUGCAAUACUCGAUCCAGCUCAAGAUGUACAAUUCAUCGCUUACUGAAGACCGUUCUACUUGAUUUAAUUAUCUCGGUGUAAGCCUCACCAUAAUCAAACAACGAGAAGAGAAGACGCGGACACGACAACGCUCUGAUGCGGUGGAGAUGUGGUCACAACAAAAUCUUAAGAACACUGAUGUCUGAAUAAAAUCUCCUGAACAUUUUUGUCUGGACCAAAUCUCCUACACACUGCUAUAUGAAUAAUUUUCCACUUAUAGAACAAAGCAGUAACACAAACGAAUUACAAAACAAGAAAUCUGAUUAUCGAACGACAAUAAA
rnacentral:lncRNA from 1 species